rnacentral:rRNA from 1 species
UACAGAGGGUGCGAGCGUUGUCCGGAACACUGGGCGUAAAGGGCGCGUAGGUGGUGACCUAAGCGUGCCGGUGAAAGCCCCGAGGCUCAACCUCGGGUCGGCCGUGCGAACUGGGUCACUGGAGCAGAAUAGAGGCAGGUGGAAUUCCGGGUGUAGCGGUGGAAUGCGUAGAGAUCCGGAAGAACACCGGUGGCGAAGGCGGCCUGCUGGGACGGUACUGACGCUGAGACGCGAAAGCGUGGGGAGCAAACAGG